rnacentral:rRNA from 1 species
GACGAACGCUGGCGGCGUGCUUAACACAUGCCAGUCGAACGGAAAGGCCCUGCUUUUGUGGGGUGCUCGAGUGGCGAACGGGUGAGUAACACGUGAGUAACCUGCCCUUGACUUUGGGAUAACUUCAGGAAACUGGGGCUAAUACCGGAUAGGAGCUCCUGCUGCAUGGUGGGGGUUGGAAAGUUUCGGCGGUUGGGGAUGGACUCGCGGCUUAUCAGCUUGUUGGUGGGGUAGUGGCUUACCAAGGCUUUGACGGGUAGCCGGCCUGAGAGGGUGACCGGCCACAUUGGGACUGAGAUACGGCCCAGACUGCUACGGGAGGCAGCAGUGGGGAAUAUUGCACAAUGGGCGGAAGCCUGAUGCAGCAACGCCGCGUGCGGGAUGACGGCCUUCGGGUUGUAAACCGCUUUCGCCUGCGACGAAGCGUGAGUGACGGUAAUGGGUAAAGAAGCACCGGCUAACUACGUG